rnacentral:rRNA from 1 species
UACGGGGGGGGGUAAGCGUUGUUCGGAAUUACUGGGCGUAAAGGGCUCGUAGGCGGCCAACUAAGUCAGACGUGAAAUCCCUCAGCUUAACCGGGGAACUGCGUCUGAUACUGGAUGGCUUGAGUUUGGGAGAGGGAUGCGGAAUUCCAGGUGUAGCGGUGAAAUGCGUAGAUAUCUGGAGGAACACCGGUGGCGAAGGCGGCAUCCUGGACCAACACUGACACUGAGGAGCGAAAGCCAGGGGAGCAAAGCGGG